UGGCUCAGAUUGAACGCUGGCGGCAGGCUUAACACAUGCAAGUCGAGCGGAAACGAUGGUAGCUUGCUACCAGGCGUCGAGCGGCGGACGGGUGAGUAAUACUUAGGAAUCUACCUAGUAGUGGGGGAUAGCUCGGGGAAACUCGAAUUAAUACCGCAUACGACCUACGGGAGAAAGGGGGCAGUUUACUGCUCUCGCUAUUAGAUGAGCCUAAGUCGGAUUAGCUAGAUGGUGGGGUAAAGGCCUACCAUGGCGACGAUCUGUAGCUGGUCUGAGAGGAUGAUCAGCCACACCGGGACUGAGACACGGCCCGGACUCCUACGGGAGGCAGCAGUGGGGAAUAUUGGACAAUGGGGGAAACCCUGAUCCAGCCAUGCCGCGUGUGUGAAGAAGGCCUUUUGGUUGUAAAGCACUUUAAGCAGUGAAGAAGACUCCGUGGUUAAUACCCACGGACGAUGACAUUAGCUGCAGAAUAAGCACCGGCUAACUCUGUGCCAGCAGCCGCGGUAAUACAGAGGGUGCAAGCGUUAAUCGGAAUUACUGGGCGUAAAGGGAGCGUAGGUGGCUCGAUAAGUCAGAUGUGAAAUCCCCGGGCUCAACCUGGGAACUGCAUCUGAUACUGUUGAGCUAGAGUAUGUGAGAGGAAGGUAGAAUUCCAGGUGUAGCGGUGAAAUGCGUAGAGAUCUGGAGGAAUACCGAUGGCGAAGGCAGCCUUCUGGCAUAAUACUGACACUGAGGCUCGAAAGCGUGGGUAGCAAACAGGAUUAGAUACCCUGGUAGUCCACGCCGUAAACGAUGUCUACUAGUCGUUGGGUCCCUUGAGGACUUAGUGACGCAGCUAACGCAAUAAGUAGACCGCCUGGGGAGUACGGCCGCAAGGUUAAAACUCAAAUGAAUUGACGGGGGCCCGCACAAGCGGUGGAGCAUGUGGUUUAAUUCGAUGCAACGCGAAGAACCUUACCUGGUCUUGACAUAUCUAGAAUCCUGCAGAGAUGCGGGAGUGCCUUCGGGAAUUAGAAUACAGGUGCUGCAUGGCUGUCGUCAGCUCGUGUCGUGAGAUGUUGGGUUAAGUCCCGCAACGAGCGCAACCCUUGUCCUUAGUUACCAGCGGGUUAAGCCGGGAACUCUAAGGAUACUGCCAGUGACAAACUGGAGGAAGGCGGGGACGACGUCAAGUCAUCAUGGCCCUUACGACCAGGGCUACACACGUGCUACAAUGGUAGGUACAGAGGGCAGCUACACAGCGAUGUGAUGCGAAUCUCAAAAAGCCUAUCGUAGUCCAGAUUGGAGUCUGCAACUCGACUCCAUGAAGUAGGAAUCGCUAGUAAUCGCGGAUCAGAAUGCCGCGGUGAAUACGUUCCCGGGCCUUGUACACACCGCCCGUCACACCAUGGGAGUUGAUUGCACCAGAAGUGGAUAGCUUAACCUUCGGGGGAGCG
rnacentral:rRNA from 1 species